AUUGAACGCUAGCGGCAGGCCUAACACAUGCAAGUCGAACGAGUGGCGGACGGGUGAGUAAUGUCUGGGAAACUGCCCGGUGGAGGGGGAUAACUACUGGAAACGGUAGCUAAUACCGCAUACCAUCGGAUGUGCCCAGAUGGGAUUAACUAGUUGGUGGGGUAAAGGCUCACCAAGGCUACGAUCCCUAGCUGGUCUGAGAGGAUGACCAGCCACACUGGAACUGAGACACGGCCCAGACUCCGACGGGAGGCAGCAGUAGGGAAUAUUGCGCAAUGGGCGCAAGCCUGAUGCAGCAAUGCCGCGUGUGUGAAGAAGGUCUUCGGGUUGUAAAGCACUUUCGGCAGGGAGGCGUUACCCACACAAGAAGCACCGGCUAACUCCGUGCCAGCAGCCGCGGUAAUAC
rnacentral:rRNA from 1 species